rnacentral:lncRNA from 1 species
ACUGCAUGCCAGCCUGGGCGACGGAGCAAGACUGUUUCAAAAAAAAAAAGUUUCGUGAUUUCUUUAUUCCUUUGCAUAGCUGAAACAAGUCUUAUCAAAAGAUUGUGAAACUGUAAUCAAAUUAGAACAAAUAUUUAAAAAAAUCUUGUACUGAAGCAUUCAUUCUAUUUUUUAGAGUUUCUGUGAAUUGUUCAACAAUAUUCCCAGUAUUAUAUUCAUAGGAAAACAGAUAAACAGCACAACAUGAGUGUUUCCUACCACAUCAAUUUUAAUGAAGACACUUUCUAUAUUAGGAUCCUGUCAUUUAUGAAUUGUUUGUAUUUUAAAUUUUUUUGUGUCUUAGCGACAUAAAUUGUUAAUCAUUGGGAUACAUGUGUUUACUUUCACCCAGUGAAAAAUUGCAUGUCUAAGCUCAACACAAUCUGGUCAUAGAGAUGUCUCCACAUUGUUCAAAUGGUCUCUUCUGUGUAGCAUUUUAGGAAGUUGGAUCCAGGAGCAGCAAGGCGGGCCAGAUUUCUCCUAACUUUAUUCUUACCUCCUCUUUCCCAGCAUUACCUUUACUCUUCACAUUUUUCCAAGAUCAGUAGAAAAUGAACAGAUCCCAGGUACCUGUGUGGGUUCCCUCAGACCUGGCCCCAGUACUUUUGCCUUUCCUUGGGAGCCAUCUGAUUCACUGCUGGUUUCAGCAGCCACCAACAUGCCAGUGACUCCGCAGUCCUCAGCUUCAUUACGGGCUUCCCUUCUGAGCUCCAGAACCACUCAUCCAGCUCCCUCCUGAAGAUCCCUGCCUGCCCGUUCCACAGACACUUCGAGCACAACAUGUCCGAGACCCCUCUAGCCCUUACCUUUUGCCCAGCCUCUUUCUUUGCACUUCCCAGUCUUUGCAAAUGGCACCUGGAUUUACCUGGAGGCUCAUAAAGAAACUCUGGGAGAUAAUUUCCCCAUCUUUCUUUUGCACCAUGAAUUUGGGACCAAUAUCUCUUAAUGUCUUAUUUUGUAGGAUCAAUUCUUCUUUCCAGGAGUUAGCUAACGUCUUUUGUAAAGAGCCAGAUAGCGAAUAUUUUAUGCUUUGUGGACCAAGAAAUAAAAUCAAGGAUAUAUGUAGGACUUAUUGAGCAAGAGACAGAAGAAAUUUACACAAUUUUUGUUUUGUUUUGUUUUAUUUUGUUUGUUUGUUUUGAUAUGAGGUCUUUGGCCUCACUCUGUUGCCAGGCUGAAGUGCAAUGGUGUGAUCACGGCUCACUGCAGCCUAGACCUCCUAGGCUCAAGUGAUUCUUCCACGUCAGCCUCCUGAGUAGCUGGGACCACACAGCCACCACGCUGCCACAUCCCGCCAUGAGCUGCUAAUUUAAAAAAUUUCUGUGAAGAUGGGGUUUUGCCACAUUGCCCAGGCUACCGCCAGUUUUUGUUGAUGAAAUUCAAAAUAUAAUCAUGAUUGUGUUAUAGUGUUUUGCAAUACAGGUCUACUAAUGAGAAAAGUGGAAUUCUUUUGGGGUGGUUAACAUUUUGCUUAAUUGAGGUUCUUUGUUACUAUUCUAUGUCAUCAAAAUCUAUUGCAAAUCAUCAUCUGCUAAUGUUGAAUUGUAAUGAGCUUUCACAUAUUUCAUCUUUGAAAAUGUGUUUCACAUAGGUACUACCAGUUACUGAUAUCAGUCCACAAACAUGAUUUUAUUUUAUUAUUUUAUUUUAUUUUAUUUUAUUUUGAGAUGGAGUCUCGCUCUAUCGCCCAGGCUGGAGUGUAGUGGCAUGAUCUCGGCUCACUGCAAGCUCCACCUCCUGAGUUCACGCCAUUCUCCUGCCUCAGCCUCCCAAGUAGCUGGGACUACAAGCGCCCGCCACCACGCCCGGCUAAUUUUUUUGUAUUUUUUAGUAGAGACUGGGUUUCACCAUGUUAGCCAGAAUGAUUUCGAUUUCCUGACCUCGUGAUCCGCCGGCCUCGGCCUCCCAAAGUCAUGAUUUUAUUUUUUAAAAAUAAAUUUAAUGUGUAUUUUUGAGGCUUACAACAUGUUAUGGGAUAUGUAUAGAUAGUAAAGUGUUUAGUGAAGCAGAUUAAUGGAUCUGUCAUCUCACAUAGUUGCUUUUGUUGUGACAAGAGCAGCUACAGUUUACUUAAUAAAAAUCUCUAAUAGAAUUUUACUAAUUUUAGUCCUUAUGUUGUACAUUAGAACUCUAAAGGUGUUCAGGCCAGGCGUGGUGGCUCAUGCCUGUAAUCCCAGCACUUUUGGAGGCCGAGGCAGGUGGAUCACCUGAGGUCAGCAGUUUGAGACCAGCCUGACCAACAUGGAGAAACCCCGUCUCUACCAAAGAUACAAAAUUAGCUGGGUGUGGUGUCGCAUGCCUGUAAUCCCAGCUACUCAGGUGGCUGAGGCAGGAGAAUUCCUUGAACCUGGGAGGCGGAGGUUGCGGUGAGCUGAGAUUGCUCCAUUGCACUCCAGCCGAGGCAACAAGAGCGAAACUCCUUCUCAAAAACAAACAAACAAACAACAACAACAACAAAACUCUAGUGGUGUUCAUCCUACAUAUUUAAAAGUUUGUAUCCUUUGACCUACAUUUCCGCAUUUCCUUUACCACCCCUCCAACACCUGUGGAAACCACUGCUUUAUUCUCUGUCUUUGUAUUUGAACUCUUUCUAAAAAUAUGGCUAACAACCUGGCGUGAUGGCUCACACCUGUAAUCCCAGCACUUUGGGAAGCCGAAGAGGGUGGAUUGCCUGAGACUAGGAGUUCAGAUCAGCCUGGGCGACAUGGCGAAACCCUGUCUCUACAAACAGUAAAAAUAUCCAGGGAUCAGUGUCGCUCAAGGACGUGACUGUGGACUUCACCCAGGAGGAGUGGUAGCAUCUGGGCCCUAUUGAGAGGACCCUGUACAUGAAUGUAAUGCUGGAGAACUACAGCCUCCUCAUCUCAGUGGGGUAUUGCAUUAGCAAGCCAAAGGUGGUCUUCAAGUUGCAGCAAGGAGAGGAGGCAUGGAUAUUAGAGGAAGAGUCCUCAAGCCAAAGCCACUUUGACAGGGUCUUGCUCUGCCACUCAGGCUGGAGUACAAUGGUGCAGUAACCAUUUACAAUAGCAUUAAAAAAAUUAAGAUACUUCAGAGUAUAUUUAACCAAAUGAGGCAAGACUUGUACACUGAAACUACAAAACAUUGUUGAAAGAAACUAAAUACUACAAUGUGUGGCUAUUCC